rnacentral:rRNA from 1 species
CCUACGGGAGGCAGCAGUGGGGAAUAUUGGACAAUGGGGGGAACCCUGAUCCAGCCAUGCCACGUGUGUGAAGAAGGCCCUCGGGUUGUAAAGCACUUUCAGUGAGGAAGAACGCCUGGUGGUUAAUACCCAUCAGGAAAGACAUCACUCACAGAAGAAGCACCGGCUAACUCCGUGCCAGCAGCCGCGGUAAUACGGAGGGUGCGAGCGUUAAUCGGAAUUACUGGGCGUAAAGCGCGCGUAGGUGGCUUGAUAAGCCGGUUGUGAAAGCCCCGGGCUCAACCUGGGAACGGCAUCCGGAACUGUCAAGCUAGAGUGCAGGAGAGGAAGGUAGAAUUCCCGGUGUAGCGGUGAAAUGCGUAGAGAUCGGGAGGAAUACCAGUGGCGAAGGCGGCCUUCUGGACUGACACUGACACUGAGGUGCGAAAGCGUGGGUAGCAAACAGGAUUAGAUACCCGAGUAGUC